rnacentral:lncRNA from 1 species
CCCAAUGUAAGACCAGCAUGGAUCUCUUUUAUUUUUAUUUAUUUUUCUAAGAUCUUUUUAAACAAAAAAAAAAUGUAGGUGUUAUUAUGAUCUAACAAAUACAAAAAGAGCUAAUACUAUAAAAAUAAAAACAAAGAUACUGUGUGUCCUCGACUAGUCCGAAUGUAAUUUAUUUUUGCAUAAUGUUUUUAUUUUAUUAGCCGGGAGUUUUACUCCCGGUUUCCUACCAAAAAAAAAAAAAAAAAAAAAAAAAAAACAGUAAUAUAUUAAAAUUGGAAAUAUCUUAUUUUAAUUACUCACUGUAUUAAACUUGAAAUUUUUCUCUUCGUUUUUUUACUAGCACUAUACAUUGAUGAUCAUUUAUUGCUCUUUUUUGU